rnacentral:lncRNA from 1 species
AAAGGUGGAAACUUACAGAAAAUUGCCUUUUGACCACCUUAAUAAUGGAGUGUAGUAAUCUCACUCUUAGAGAUUUCAUUGUCUUUGGGAAUCUAAUUUCUUGGAGAUUUCACUGUCUCUGUUAAAUUUACAUUUAGUGGAAUAAAACUUUAAUUGUUUAAAAUGUCAGGGCAUGCUUCACACACACGUUUUAAAGAAGAAAUUCUCGUUGUUAUUGCUGAGAAAUUUACGAAGUGGGUUGAUGUUCCGCCUCCCAAAGCAGAAACUAGUUGCCAUGUGUUCCAUGGUUACCUAGAAAGCACAUUACUUAAACCGUUCAGCUGACACUUCGGGAGAAAACAAUUUGUAAGUUUAGAAAAAUUGGCCAACCUGAAGAGAAGGAGGUUUCCUUUCUCCCUUUCCCACCUCAACUUGUGUUAAAAGUCAGGCUUCUGUGUUAACGUCAUUCAUUCACUGAGAAAGUUUCUGAUUUCUUAGCGGAUUCAGUAGUGUGUGGAGCCUACAUAUUAUAACCCGAUGCGUCUGUACCGCCUGCAGCUGACAACAAAUGGAAAUGGGAUUUAAGAAUCAUUCGCGUCAUUUUUCAGGAUGAUGGGAAAGCUGCCUUAAAACAUGGUGCCUAAAACUUUAGUAAACUCACCUAUUCAAGUUUCGUUCACGUAUCAGAUAAUAAGCCAUAAAUGUUUUC